CGCAGGCGAGGCAGGCACAGCCCCGGCACACGCAGGCUGCGGGUCGCUCCGUGCCCCGCUCGGAGGUGACCCCGCUGCCAGGGCUCCCCUCAGCCCCUUCCGUAUCCCGAGGCGGCAAUGCGGCUCCUGCACCCCAGCAGCGCAUCGGCCCGUGCCAGCGCACCCGGGAACCUCAACUGCGGCAGGUACUCAGCUCACUGGAAACAAUCAGUAAUUUACAACAGCCUGCUUAAACAGUGAGAAAAAAUGCACCAAGGAUAAUAAAUAAGCAAAUACAUUUUAAGUGAUAAAUGGGAAGAGAAGUUUCAUUUGACAAGUUAAGCAGAUGGAGCUAUGGCCAAUUUCUUUAAUCUACUGGUACAUGAGUGUUAUGUUUAAUUUUCAAGUGGUGUUUAGUUGUAGAUUAGGAAUUGGAAACAAUUCAGUUGUUCACAGCAAACCACUUUCUCUUGCUGUUUCCUAAUUUGGAAUAUUAUUCUGUGUUUCCAAGAUGGUAUUUAUCCCCUAAUUCUUCAGGUCUCUAUUAUGUUCACGCAAGUAAUUUCAGAAGACACAUUCACUAGCUAACACCCAUCUCCUCUUGCACUUGCACACCACACAACAUUUAUAAUUAAGCCUCUUAGGAAGUUAGCUGCAUGGCCCUUGAUUAACUUCCUUUAAUUCUUCAUUGUUAAAGUUCAGUGCAAAGACCUCUGGAGUAAUCAGGCCACCUUUCCAACUGGAAAUGUAGCAUAUAAAUCAGUAUUCACUAAGAUACCAUCCCAGCAUAGAAAGUGAGUAUUGGUGCCUUUAUCACAGUCUAACAGGCCAUACAGGCUUAUCCAAAGCCAGUGUUUCCCAGCAGAUGAGGCAGAUAAAGCGGGUGAUCAGAGGCUGUUGACACAGGGCACAGCAUCUGCAAUUAAGUCACUAGGGAAGCUGGCAUGGAAUGCUGUGACAAAGAUAGGAUCCAAUUUACACACAGCUUUCAGCAAAUCUUAAAAUGCUGUCUGAGUAAAACCCAGCCACUCCUGACUUACUGCACGCUAGAAAUUUGUCAAAUAGUGUUGAGAAGAGGGGGGUAGAGGGUGCAUUGUUUGUCAGACAUCUAAAUUGGAUAUAUUUUAGUGAUUUUAUGUUCCUGACUCUCUUUCCAUGUCACCCAAAUUCUGUGAAGAAGAGGUGUGUGUUUGUGUUGGAAGUGCUGUAAUGUUUGGCACAUUGAGACUUCUACCUGCUCACCAUGACUGGUAUUCCCUGUUCUGCAAGACAAAAAGAAGAAGAGCAUAUGCGAUGAAACAGAUCCUUGGAUUUUGAAUCUUGAGGUGACCUUGACUCCACAACUCUCCUGAACAAUUACACUACAGAACAGUUGAUUGUUUCUUUGUUUGUGUGGCAAUAGAUUAUGGACUAAGAUAAAAGGAGCCUUCAGAACCUA